rnacentral:rRNA from 1 species
CAGCAGCCACGGUAAUACGUAGGUGGCAAGCGUUGUCCGGAAUUAUUGGGCGUAAAGGGCUCGCAGGCGGUUUCUUAAGUCUGAUGUGAAAGCCCCCGGCUCAACCGGAGAGGGUCAUUGGAAACUGGGAAACUUGAGUGCAGAAGAGGAGAGUGGAAUUCCACGUGUAGCGGUGAAAUGCGUAGAGAUGUGGAGGAACACCAGUGGCGAAGGCGACUCUCUGGUCUGUAACUGACGCUGAGGAGCGAAAGCGUGGGGAGCGAACAGGAUUAGAUACCCCUGUAGUCCCUGUCUCUUAUAC